ACCAGUAUGAACGGCACCACGAGGGCUCAACUGUCUCCCCUGUUUAAUCAGUGAAAUUGAUUUCCCAGUGCAGAAGCUGGGAUAAUAACAUAAGACGAGAAGACCCCAUGGAGCUUAAGACGCAUCUCCCCCCCCCCCCCCCAUAGUUUAGGCAGCCAUGACUUUCUGUCUUCGGUUGGGGCGACCACGGAGAAAAAUAAUCCUCCGAGCCGAACGGGGCACACACCACCCCUUAACCAAGAGCCACAAUUCCAAGUAAUAGAACCUCUAACGGAGUCUGAUCCAAACUAAUUGAUCAACGAACCAAGUUACCCUGGGGAUAACAGCGCAAUCCACUCCGAGAGUCCAUAUCGACGAGCGGGUUUACGACCUCGAUGUUGGAUCAGGACCCCCUAAUGGUGAAGCCGCUAUUAACGUGUUCGUUUGUU
rnacentral:rRNA from 1 species